rnacentral:rRNA from 1 species
GACGAACCGUGCAAACGUUAUUCGGAAUCACUGGGCUUAAAGGGCGCGUAGGCGGGCGGUCAAGUCAGGGGUGAAAUCUUUCGGCUCAACCGGAAAAGUGCCUUUGAUACUGGCCGUCUGGAGGGAGGUAGGGGCGUGCGGAACUUUGGGUGGAGCGGUGAAAUGCGUAGAUAUCCAAAGGAACACCGGUGGCGAAAGCGGCGCGCUGGACCUCUACUGACGCUGAGGCACGAAAGCGUGGGGAGCAAACAGG